rnacentral:misc_RNA from 1 species
ACGAGUUAGGGUCUCUCCAGGCCCGACCUCCCAACCCUUUGUUUACCGAACCUCUGUUGCUUCGGCGGACCCGUCUCACGACCGCCGGGGGACCGCCGACAGGCGUCCUCUGGCCAGCGUCCGUCGAUAGCCAAACAUUUAAAACCCUGAAUAAAUCGUGUCUUGUGCCUAAUUCUAUGAUUAAAUCAAAAACA